rnacentral:rRNA from 1 species
AGGAGGGCGUGCCGCCUCGCAAU